rnacentral:rRNA from 1 species
AGCAAACGCUGGCGGCGUGCCUAAUACAUGCAAGUCGAACGGGGAAGUACCUUCGGGUAUUGUACUAGUGGCGCACGGGUGAGUAACGCGUGGAUAAUCUACCUUUUAGUGGGGAAUAACUAGCCGAAAGGUUGGCUAAUACCGCAUAAGACCACAGUUUCUAUGGAAACAGGGGUUAAAGGCUUCGGUCGCUAAAAGAUGAGUCCGCGUGAGAUUAGCUAGUUGGUGAGGUAAUGGCUUACCAAGGCGACGAUCUCUAGCUGGUCUGAGAGGAUGAUCAGCCACACUGGAACCGAGACACGGUCCAGACUCCUAAGGGAGGCAGCAGUAGGGAAUAUUGCACAAUGGAGGAAACUCUGAUGCAGCGACGCCGCGUGAGUGAUGAAGGCCUUCGGGUUGUAAAGCUCUGUUGUAUGGGAAAAAGAAAGUGAUUGUACCAUAUAAGAAAGGAUCGGCUAACUUCGUGCCAGCCGCCGCCGUAA